rnacentral:rRNA from 1 species
UGCCAAUUAGCUAGCUUUAAACCAAAAACAACAGACCAUUAAUAAUACCCCCACAUUAAUUACCCCUAACAAUCAAACCAUUUUACCCAUUUAGUAUGUGCGACAGAAAAAUAAGUCUCUAGCGAUAGAAAAAGUACCGUAAGGGAAAGCUGAAAAAGAAAUGAAAUAAAUCAGUCAAGCAAAAAAAAGCAGAGACUACCCCUCGUACCUUUUGCAUCAUGAAUUAGUAAGACACCCCAAGCAAAACGAUCUAUAGUUUGGCCCCCCGAAACUAAGUGAGCUACUCCGAGACAGCCUAUAAAUUAGGGCACACCCGUCUCUGUGGCAAAAGAGUGGGAAGAGCUCCGAGUAGAGGUGACAGAUCUACCGAACUUAGUUAUAGCUGGUUGCCUGAGAACUGAAUAUAAGUUCAGCCUCCCGGCUUCUCCACACACUAUUUCCCCAUACUCUUAACCCCCGGAUAGUCACUAAAGAAUACCGAGAGUGUAAGUUAAAGGAGGAACAGCUCCUUUAACAUAAGACACAACUUUAUCAGAAGGAUAAAGAUCAUAAUACCCAAAGUAUUCACCUUUUCGUGGGCCUAAGAGCAGCCACCCUAACAGAAAGCGUCAAAGCUCAGAUAUCCUCUCAACUCCUUAUUAUGAUAACCCUUCUAACUCCUCUAAUACUACCAGGCUUCUUCAUGCCCCCAUGAAAGUAACUAUGCUAAUAUGAGUAAUAAGAGAGUCCGCCUCUCUCCACUACACAAGUGUAAAUCGAAACAAACCCCUGCCGAAAAUUAAUGGGCCCAAAAAAAGAGGGAACCGAAAAAUACAUAGACACCCAGAAAAACAAUCAACAAUCACCCAUUAAUCUUACACCAGAGUGUUUAAAGGAAAGACUAAACCAAUGAGAAGGAACUCGGCAAACACCUUAGGCCUCGCCUGUUUACCAAAAACAUCACCUCCUGUAAACAAAAUAUAGAAGGCACUGCCUGCCCAGUGACCCCUGUUCAACGGCCGCGGUAUCCUAACCGUGCAAAGGUAGCGUAAUCACUUGUCUUUUAAUUGAAGACCUGUAUGAAUGGCAAAACGAGGGCUCAACUGUCUCCUCAUUAAAGUCAAUAAAAUUGAUCCCCCCGUGCAGAAGCGGGGAUAGCACCAUAAGACGAGAAGACCCUGUGGAGCUUUAGACGCUAAAGCAGCUCAUAAACUCAGCCUUGUCAUAACCAAGCAUCAACUAAAUGAAUCCCUGCUUCCUUGUCUUCGGUUGGGGCGACCAGGAGAAACUAAACAACUCCCCUGAGGUCUGAGGGUACUCCCCCUCAAAACUAAGAGCCACACCUCUAAUAAAUAGAACUUCUAACUAGAUAGAUCCGGGACACCCGAUCUACGAACAAAGUUACCCCAGGGAUAACAGCGCAAUCCUCUUUCAGAGCCCAUAUCGACAAGAGGGUUUACGACCUCGAUGUUGGAUCAGGACACCCCAAUGGUGCAGCCGCUAUUAAAGGUUCGUUUGUUCAACGAUUAAAGUCCUACGUGAUCUGAGUUCAGACCGGAGUAAUCCAGGUCAGUUUCUAUCUAUGAUGCAGAUUUUUCCAGUACGAAAGGACCGAAAAAACAAGGCCCCUGCCAUAGACACGCCUUAUUUUAACUCAAUGAUUCCAUAUCAAUUGAUAUAAGAAGGCAAGCACAGGCCUCAAACCAAGGUUU